rnacentral:rRNA from 1 species
GGAAUAUUGGACAAUGGGCGCAAGCCUGAUCCAGCAAUGCCGCGUGUGUGAAGAAGGCCUUCGGGUUGUAAAGCACUUUAGUUGGGGAGGAAAAGAUUAAGGUUAAUACCCUUGAUCCUUGACGUUACCCAAAGAAUAAGUACCGGCUAACUCUGUGCCAGCAGCCGCGGUAAUACAGAGGGUACGAGCGUUAUUCGGAAUUACUGGGCGUAAAGCGCUCGCAGGCGGUUAACCAAGUCGGAUGUGAAAGCCCCGGGCUCAACCUGGGAUGGUCAUUCGAAACUGGUUAACUAGAGUAUGGUAGAGGAAAGUGGAAUUUCCGGUGUAGCAGUGAAAUGCGUAGAGAUCGGAAGGAACAUCAGUGGCGAAGGCGACUUUCUGGACCAAUACUGACGCUCAUGAGCGAAAGCGUGGGGAGCA